UACAACUAUUGAUCGCGGGUGGAUGAAACCCAGUACGCCACAACGAAAGAGUGAAAGGACUCACGGCUACUCCAUCUUCCUCAGACCGCAAAAUUAACAGACGCUGCUUCGCAUUUGCACCUCAAAGAUAAAAAAUUUGAUCCGAAACGAAAAACCCCAGUUUGGCAAUUGGCCCUGGCUUCUCUCGCGAUUCGUUUGAAUCCCAAUAGACUCGAUGGCUCUGAGAAAUUUGCCUUGGCGGGGCCUUGUGUGCAGCGAAUCAGUUAGAUGCUUUGAGUUUCCUAUUCGGUUCUACGCCAACAAAGCGAAACUGAGGAAGCACCGCCCCAUGAUUCUCAAGAGAAUCGAGAGAAGAGCCCAAGCGUACCCGGUUCGCGCCACCAUUCCGGUUGCAAAGGAGGCGCUGGUAACUCGGGAUAUUCUCUUCCAUGGCGUUUCCAUCCUUCUCAAGUCCAUUCCUAUCAUGGCUUGCAAAUUCUGUCCAGAGAUAUUUAUUGGUGAGCAGGGGCAUAAAAUUCGAACUUGCUGGGGCUACAAGCAUCGAGCCAAGAAUCGAGUUCAUGAGUGGGUCAGAGGUGGUUUAAAUGAUAUACUUGUUCCUGUCCAAGCAUUUCACCUACAUAACAUGUUCCAGCCUGUUAUUACACACAACCAGAGGUUUGACUUUGAACGCAUACCUGCUGUUUUGGAGCUAUGUUGGCAAGCAGGCGCUUAUCCCAAUGACGAAAACCUUAGUUCAAGUAAUUGGAGCUUGGAGGCUGCCAAUGAUAGCGUGCAAGGAGGUGAAUCUUUGUCACCAAGGGAUCUUACCUCUGUAGCACAACAAACACUCAAUGCUUGGGAAAUUCUUAGGUCAGGGGUGGAGAAGUUGUUGUUGGUUUAUCCAGUAAAAGUUUGUAAACAUUGUUCUGAGGUUCAUGUUGGGCCUUCUGGCCAUAAAGCUAGGCUUUGUGGAGUAUUUAAAUAUGAAAGUUGGAGAGGAUCUCACUUUUGGAUGAAAGCUACAGUGGAUGAUUUAGUGCCCCCGAAGAUCGUAUGGAGCCAAAGGCCUAAAGAUCCUGCUGUACUUGUAGAUGAAGGGAGAAGAUUUUACGGGCGUGUUCCAGCUGUAUUGGAUCUGUGCUCAAAGGGUGGUGCCCUUGUGCCUGCAAAGUAUAAUUGUAUGAAGAAAGUUAAAGGUUCGUCAGGCCCUGUCAAUAAUGAGAUUAGAAAAAGAACUAUAGAAUUGAACUUUCCGGGGCAGCAUGUUGACUUACAGGCAUGGUUGGAAUCAGAGUACAGUGUGGGAAAAUGACAUCUAACUAUAUGUCAUUACUUCAGCCUGCUGCCUGCAACUGCUCCAUAUUUCUAAGAUCAAAAUCUAAUAUAUGUGUAUGGACUUAGUGGAGCUGAUCUUCGCCCAGUUCGAAGAAAUCAAUUUCAUCUUCUAGUUCUCCAGUCAAAGGUGCCAAUUGUUUUUCCCUUUUUACACAUAUUUGUUUCUUGAGGAAUUAGAGUCCAACAAUUGCUAGAUAUACACAGGAGAGAUGCUGCACUGUUGUACAUGUUUGUAAUAAGUUCAUCGAUGCCUGAAAAAAGUAUGUCAUUAUCUUCCUUUUUAUUCUUCUUAAUCAUAGUUGUGACAUCCAAACAAAAGAGAAAAGAAAGUUUUUGAUUCUUUAUUACGUACAUAGCUUUUGAUGGAGAAAAAUUAAGCAUUGUAGUGAGUGAUGUUACUCCCAGGAUUGGCCAAUUCUUAAUUCCAAUUUGAACUUCCAAGCUGUCUAAUUUGUCUUGCCAAUGUAAAUGCAUGAUUUAUUUAUAGGAACUGAAGUUUUGGCUUUCAAUUA